ACUUAUAUUCUGUAGCAAGGUUAACCGUAUAGGGGAGCCGGAGGGAAACCGAGUCUUAAUUGGGCGUUAAGUUGCAGGGUAUAGACCCGAAACCCGGUGAUCUAGCCAUGGGCAGGUUGAAGGUUGGGUAACACUAACUGGAGGACCGAACCGACUAAUGUUGAAAAAUUAGCGGAUGACCUGUGGCUGGGGGUGAAAGGCCAAUCAAACCGGGAGAUAGCUGGUUCUCCCCGAAAGCUAUUUAGGUAGCGCCUCGUGAAUUCAUCUCCGGGGGUAGAGCACUGUUUCGGCUAGGGGGCCAUCCCGGCUUACCAACCCGAUGCAAACUGCGAAUACCGGAGAAUGUUAUCACGGGAGACACACGGCGGGUGCUAACGUCCGUCGUGAAGAGGGAAACAACCCAGACCGCCAGCUAAGGUCCCAAAGUCAUGGUUAAGUGGGAAACGAUGUGGGAAGGCCCAGACAGCCAGGAUGUUGGCUUAGAAGCAGCCAUCAUUUAAAGAAAGCGUAAUAGCUCACUGGUCGAGUCGGCCUGCGCGGAAGAUGUAACGGGGCUAAACCAUGCACCGAAGCUGCGGCAGCGAACGUAUCACUUAAAGCGAUUCAGCGGGUUACGAUUGACGGAGCGAAGCGACGUCAAAGCGUAUACAAAGUCGAGUCGGUUUAAGGAUACGUU
rnacentral:rRNA from 1 species